UCCGGAAUGCUAGAGCUGAAUAUUCUGUUGAGCCAGCAAAGCGCAUAACUGCUUCUAUUGUUGGUAGUGAAGAAGUCAUUCAGUAUAUAUCUGUAAGUGUAGUUUGUUUCUUUAGGGAUUGUCUUAUUAAUUAUAAAGAAAAAUGAAUGGCACUGUUUUGUUUCUUUUCUUGAUUGUGCCAUCUUUCGAUGCAUAAUAUAUACUUGUAACUAUACUAUGUUUACUAUAUGCUCAUCAUGUGGGUGAAAAAAAUAAAAAAGAAUCUAAAAAUUACUCAACUAAUGUUCUUUUCUUCUUUGAAAAAACUAAUUAUUAUUAAUGAAAGAGAAAUUAAAGUGAAAACUAGGAGUGACUUUUAGUUAAAAUUAAAAAUUGAAUUUCUUAUUUGAUCUUAUUGCUGUACUAAUUUUUUCUUGUAAAUUUGUUUUAUUUGUCUUUCCCCCAACUGAGUUGGUGUCCACUUCACUUGUAACACCAAACUCAGUCAGUCUCUUUGCUGUAAUCUAUGAUGUUAGGGCCUUCACUAAUUUUCUAUUUGUCUAGUUUUGGGAGUGGUUAGGAUAUUAAUUUUUUUCUCAACUAUUUUGUUCUGAAGGAAUUAAGUUUUCUUGGGGUUUGAAUUACUGGGAAGCUAUUUCUGUUGUGAUAUACCUACUUUUUUUUCUUUUAAAGAAUCUUAUAUUUUGUCUAGUUAAUCAGUAUAAUUUCCUUAUUAAUAUUCAUGCAAAUUGUAUUGAAGCAUGUUCUUUCAAGUGUAUGAUCAACUGAUCGGUUGAGAGUGCAUCAUUUGUCUGAAAUUGAUAAUGUCUCAUUUAUGGGCUUCUGGGGCUCAUCCACAAAUGCAAUUAGUAAUUAAAUGUGUUUCUACUCUUUAUUUAUUUAUUUUAAUAAAAUCCCAUUAGAUGAUCUGUUAAAAUAUACUAUAUUAUUGGAUUUGGGAUAUCUAUUUUAAGGCUGAUGUUUCUUUUUUUAUCUUGGUGUGUUCAUGUAUAUGUCUUCAAACAUACUGGCUUUUGAAACUAGAUUGUGUCUGAGUCACAAAAAAGACUACCUACAGAAGAUAAAAGUGGUGCUGGUAUCAGAAUUCAUGAUAACAAUGAAUGAGAGGAAUCCGCAGCCGUGCGAUUUGAAGGGGAAGUGUCACUG
rnacentral:lncRNA from 1 species